AGGUGCCAGCGCAUGCAGUGGGGACGCCGUGCCUAGCUACGUCGUCGGUAUUUGCUCUUGUAUUCUUGUAAUGUGUUUGGUGUUGUUGUGCACGUGAUUGCUGUUUGUUUUCUUUGUACGUGUGGCUGUCGGGUCUAGAUCUCGGCUCUUGUGUGUGUUGUCCUGCUACGUCAGUUCUGUGGUGGUAAAUUAAUUUGGAUUGUAUCUUGCAUGUUUCAACUAUAUAUUUGUUGGCUGCAUAUUUCAAUUAUGUGAUGUUGGAAUUAUGUGAAUUGCUCCAAUGUGCCAUUGGUUACCAUUGCUUGAUCGGUGAAAUACAAGGUAAAUAUGUCAUGCGUCGUAGUUACUCUGUUUUGCAGAACUAGCCUCUGUUUGUGCGUCUAGAUUUAUAAAUAUUACUGCAUUUGGUGUUGUUUUUCUUUUCUAUUUAUUUGACUCCACUGUAAAGAAUUGUUUUAUUGUAUUCAUAGCAACUUUACUAGUUACAGCGAUUCAAAUUUUAUUAAAUUGUUGCCCCUAAAAGGAGAAUAUGAUGUCAGAAACACUAGCAAAACACGGGCAUCCGAGGGAGUAUAGACUACCCACUAGGGCUAACGUGCACUUCACUGCACCGUUCUUCGUUCCUGGGAUUAACUCUUCACUAGUGCAGAAACCCUUUAUAGGAUUUUUCUACUAGCAAUGUAUGGAUAAAAUGAGACGGGUGCUAAUUUGACAAAAUACCAACAACGUUCACGAAAAUAGUACACGCUGCUAAUAACAUCUUAUUAUCCGCAUGUGACACCAGCGCACGCUGCUAGUAAGGGGCACCCAGGAAGCCCUUCAUCUCGAAUAUCCUAGCAGCGGGUAGCGCGGUGAACGUUGCUAAUAUAGAAAGAACUAGUGGCGCAUGCAGAAAUUCGAGACACCACUAAUACGUAGUGUGGACCCCUUGUGUUUGAAUUAUCCAAUACAAAUGUUCAAUUUUUUAACUAAUUUCAUCAAAUAUAACUGGAACACAAAAGUCCUGUAAUUGUAUUUGAAAUCCUAAAAUGCCACUCUGCAUGAGUGAGAUGCCACCGCGUGCAGUGGGGGGCGACGUGCCUACGCCGUCGGUAUUUGCUCUUGUAUUCUUGUAUGUGUUUUGUGACCUGGUGAUUGUUGUUUGUUUUCUUUGUACGUGUGGCUGUUGGGUCUGGAUCUCGGCUCUUGUACUAUGUAUUGUGUUGUUACGUCAGUUUUGCGGCAGUAAACUAAUUUGGACGGUAUCUUGCAUGUUUCAAUUAUAUAUAUUUUCGGCUGCCUGUUUCAAUUAUAUGAUGUUGUAAUUAUGUGGAUUGCUACAAUGUUCCAUUUGUUACCAUUGCUUGAUCAGUGAAAUACGGGGUGAAUAUGUCAUGCGUCGUAGUUACUCUGUUUUGCACAACUGGCAUCCGUUUGUGCGGUUAGAUUUAUGUAUUUGCUGAUGCUUUCCUCCACUGUAUUUUUGUAUUCAUAGCUACUUUUGCACAACUGGCAACCUUAUUUAUUUGACUCCACUGUCACGAACUAUUUUUUUUGUAUUCAUAGCUACUUUUUUUUGCGAGAAGCUACUUUACUAGUUAUGACGAUUUAGAUUUUGCUUAAAUAGUUUCCCCUAUUUAUGCAGGGGCUAAAUAUAUAUUGUUAAGCUAAAAACAAAAUACGUCAUCAGAAACAAUAGCAAAACACGGACGUCCAAGGGAGUAUGGACUACCCAUAUACUCCCUCACUUCUAUUUUAUAGGCUCAAUUUAAAAAUCUCGUCAACCAAGGUAGCGGGUGAGUGGUAAAAUAUAUUUUUGUAGUUUGCAAAAAUACUCAAUUGUUGGGCUCAUUUUUCUCAAGAAAUUGUACUUUACAAAAAUUUUAAUCGCAAUGCAUACAUGUGUGACCAAUAAAUGACCAAGAACUUUACAUGCAUUGGUGAGUUUUCUCUUAAUCCUUGCAUACAACGAUUUAAUGCACCUUGAAAUCCUAACAUGCGAAUGUGAGCAACGAAAUUGAGACUUGUAAAAUGGGAA
rnacentral:lncRNA from 1 species